rnacentral:rRNA from 1 species
AUUGAACGCUGGCGGCAGGCCUAACACAUGCAAGUCGAGCGAGCGGCGGACGGGUGAGGAAUGUAUGGGGACUGCCCGAUAGAGGGGGAUAACUACUGGAAACGGUGGCUAAUACCGCAUACUAUCGGAUAACCCAUAUGGGUUUAGUUAGUAGGUGGGGUAAAGGCUCACCUAGGCGACGAUCUCUAGCUGGUCUUAGAGGAUGAUCAGCCACACUGGGACUGAGACACGGCCCCGACUCCUACGGAGGCAGCAGUGGGGAAUAUUGCACAAUGGGCGCAAGCCUGGUGCAACCAUGCCGCGUGUAUGAAGAAGGCCUUAGAGUUGUAAAGUACUUUCAGCGGGGAGGCGUUAACCGAAGAAGAAGCACCGGCUAACUCCGUGCCAGCAGACGCGGUAAGAG